rnacentral:lncRNA from 1 species
CAAAAAUAAGAAAAAUAUUUCCCCCUUCUAGACUAGAUAUAGCCCUGAUAUGGAUGGAACAGCUGUGCAGAUAAAACCACUUAUGCUUUUUGCCCUCCCUCAUUGUAGGUAAAAGCAUACCACUUUCCUCUGUAAACUCCAUGUACACUUUUCUAGUAUUAUUUGGGGAUAUCCUGAGUUUGUAAGAGAGCAGUAGUUAUCAUAAACUACCAUCACUGGUAUAGCCAUUACUUUGAUGACCACUUUAGGUUUUGGAAGCGAUGCCAAAGACUUGACUGACAAUUCAGCAGCUCCAUUCCCACAUUCUCCUGACACUCACCUCUGUGCAAAGGCAGUCCCUACAGCUAGACUCAUUCUGAAUUGAAACACAGUAUUCACAUAUUCACUUUAUGGUUGUACCUUAGCCUAGACUAAAUCUGCCCCGUGGCAAUGGUGCAAGUAAAAAUAAUAAAUAGUAAUAAUAAUAACAACAAUAAUGAUACUAAAAUCGUGGUGCCAGGGAGCAUUCCAGGGCACAGCAACUUCAGUGUCUAUUUUUAAAAUGUUGGAAAGGUCCCUACAUGGCUUAUGGCUUUGCUAUGGGACACAUGCCAUUCUUCCAAACAAUGCCAAGACAUAGUGUCUUAGAGACAGAAAUGGGUAGGGAGGAUUCACAAUAUACAGUUUACAUGAUGUCAUCUUAUUCUUGAGACUGAGAAUACAUAGGCACAAGUAGUUUGAACAGAAGCUACCCCAAGACACGUGUCUUCAAAACCAGAAGACAGUCUCGGAUCAAAAGAACAGCACUUCAUGUUACAUCAUAGUUUAGACAUAACCUGUGUACCAGCUGAAGUCUCUAGUUCACAGCAUUUCCUGUGUUUUACAUUUGUUUCAGAUUAGUCUGUAAACUUUUAUAGUCAGAAACCACACUUCCUUUCACUGUGUUUCUAGCACAAAGAAGUCUCACAUCUGAUUAAGAUGUUAAUUAACAUCAGAAGCAAAAUGAAUGAAAAUCCUAACAUUAAUUUGAAGAUCCUACUGCUGAUGAUGAAUAGGAAAAGAAGAAAAGGUGAGAAGUUUUUCAGUAUGACAUUCAGAGUUUUAUUUGUGGAACCUCAAUUGACUUCUUCAAGAGUAGAACAUCCUGAAACUAGCUGCUGAAAAUGCCUUCGAUUCAAUAGGUUCUCAGAAUAUAAACUUGGUUAACCAUAGUGAGGAAACAAUCAUGAGAAGUGAUUACAGAACAUUUCAGAAGCUUUUUUUUUUUUUUUUAAUCAUGUAUUUCCC